CAGUAGCCGCGGGAAUACGUAGGGUGCAAGCGUUAAUCGGAAUUGCUGGGCGUAAAGCGUGCGCAGGCGGUUAUAUAAGUCAGAUGUGAAAUCCCCGGGCUCAACCUGGGAACUGCAUUUGAGACUGUAUGGCUAGAGUGUGUCAGGGGGGGGUAGAAUUCCACGUGUAGCAGUGAAAUGCGUAGAUAUGUGGAGGAAUACCGAUGGCGAAGGCAGCCCCCUGGGAUAACACUGACGCUCAUGCACGAAAGCGUGGGGAGCAAACAGGAUUAGAUACCCCCGUAGUCCCUGUCUCUUAUAC
rnacentral:rRNA from 1 species